rnacentral:piRNA from 1 species
UCUGCCCAGUCUUCCAGGCUCAGUCAA